CGCCUCUUGACUAAAUAUAAGAGGUCCAGCCUGCCCAGUGACAUAGUUUAACGGCCGCGGUACCCUAACCGUGCGAAGGUAGCAUAAUCACUUGUUCUUUAAAUAGGGACUCGUAUCAACGGCAUCACGAGGGCUGUACUGUCUCCUUUCUCCAAUCAGUGAAACUGAUCCCCCCGUGAAGAAGCGGGGAUAAACCUAUAAGACGAGAAGACCCCAUGGAGCUUUAAACCCAUCACGCACCCCUACGUACUCGAAUCAAUACAACCCAAGGGACUUGUGUGUUGGUUUUAGGUUGGGGGGACCGCGGAGUAAAAUUUAACCUCCACGACAGACAGGUUAACACCCUUAUCCAUGAACCACAAUUCUAAGAGUCAAUAAAUUGUUGUCUAAUGACCCAACUAUUUGAUCAACGAACCAAGUUACCCUGGGGAUAACAGCGCAAUCUACUUCAAGAGCCCCUAUCGACAAGUAGGUUUACGACCUCGAUGUUGGAUCAGGGUAUCCUAGUGGUGCAGCCGCUACUAAAGGUUCGUUUGUUCAACGAUUAAAACCCU
rnacentral:rRNA from 1 species